UACAGAGGGGGCAAGCGUUAUUCGGAAUUAUUGGGCGUAAAGGGCGCGUAGGCGGCUUGGCAAGUGGAUGGUGAAAUCCCUCGGCUUAACCGAGGAACUGCCGUCCAAACUGCUUCGCUUGAGACCGGGAGAGGUGAGUGGAAUUCCCAGUGUAGCGGUGAAAUGCGUAGAUAUUGGGAGGAACACCAGUGGCGAAGGCGGCUCACUGGACCGGAACUGACGCUGAGGCGCGAAAGCGUGGGGAGCGAACAGG
rnacentral:rRNA from 1 species